rnacentral:rRNA from 1 species
UGGCAGCGCUUGCUGUAAUGCAGUCGAGCGAAUGGAUUAAGAGCUUGCUCUUAUGAAGUUAGCGGCGGACGGGUGAGUAACACGUGGGUAACCUGCCCAUAAGACUGGGAUAACUCCGGGAAACCGGGGCUAAUACCGGAUAACAUUUUGAACCGCAUGGUUCGAAAUUGAAAGGCGGCUUCGGCUGUCACUUAUGGAUGGACCCGCGUCGCAUUAGCUAGUUGGUGAGGUAACGGCUCACCAAGGCAACGAUGCGUAGCCGACCUGAGAGGGUGAUCGGCCACACUGGGACUGAGACACGGCCCAGACUCCUACGGGAGGCAGCAGUAGGGAAUCUUCCGCAAUGGACGAAAGUCUGACGGAGCAACGCCGCGUGAGUGAUGAAGGCUUUCGGGUCGUAAAACUCUGUUGUUAGGGAAGAACAAGUGCUAGUUGAAUAAGCUGGCACCUUGACGGUACCUAACCAGAAAGCCACGGCUAACUACGUGCCAGCAGCCGCGGUAAUACGUAGGUGGCAAGCGUUAUCCGGAAUUAUUGGGCGUAAAGCGCGCGCAGGUGGUUUCUUAAGUCUGAUGUGAAAGCCCACGGCUCAACCGUGGAGGGUCAUUGGAAACUGGGAGACUUGAGUGCAGAAGAGGAAAGUGGAAUUCCAUGUGUAGCGGUGAAAUGCGUAGAGAUAUGGAGGAACACCAGUGGCGAAGGCGACUUUCUAGUCUGUAACUGACACUGAGGCGCGAAAACGUGGGGGAGCAAACAGGAUUAGAUACCCUGGUAGUCCACGCCCUAAACAAUGAGUGCUAAGUGUUAGGGGUUUCCGCCCUUUAGUGCUGAAAGUUA